GGAAGGAUCAUUAUCGAAUUUGGAUCCGAAGGGGAAGGACGAGCGAGCGAAGUUUGCAGAAGCAUUAGAGAUGGUCGCUGGCCUUUGGAAACGAAGGCAUGUGCACGUCUCGGUCCUCGUUCUCUUUCCUUUCGUAAAUCUUUGACACCCGUGCACCUCUUGUAGGUCCCUGCGAGGGGACCUAUGUCUUCACAAACUCUUUGUAUGUCCAGGAAUGUAUCUAAAGCGUCGACCGGCUUGGCUGAACGUCCAGUCGGCGACGGUAAAGAAUGUAAUACAACUUUCAGCAACGGAUCUCUUGGCUCUCGCAUCGAUGAAGAACGCAGCGAAUUGCGAUAAGUAAUGUGAAUUGCAGAUUUUCAGUGAAUCAUCGAAUCUUUGAACGCACCUUGCGCUCCUUGGUAUUCCGAGGAGCAUGCCUGUUUGAGUGUCAUUUAAUUCUCAACCAUCCCUCGAUUGAUUUUUCGAGGUUUGGCUUGGAUUUUGGGAGCUGCCGGCGACCGAUCGGGUCUUUGGCUCUCCUCAAAAGCAUUAGCGACGGCGGUGUGACCUCCCCCGUGCAUGAACGGCCUUCGACGUGAUAAUGAUCGUCGUGGGCUGGAGUGCUAGCGGGCGUCGCGUCGCGUUCGGCGCUUCUAAUUCUCGUCGAAAGACGAAAUAUAUCGAAACUUGACCUCAAAUCAGGUAGGACUACCCGCUGAACUUAAGCAUAUCAAUAAGCGGAGGAAAAGAAACUAACAAGGAUUCCCCUAGUAACUG
rnacentral:rRNA from 1 species